GACGAGGUUGCCCAGAGGUUAAGGCGAUGGGCUGUUGACCCAUUGUGUUGUGCACGCGUGGGUUCGAAUCCCACUUUCGUCG